UUUAGUAUGAAGAGUUUGAUCCUGGCUCAGGAUUAACGCUAGCGGAAGGCAUAAUACAUGCAAGUCGAACGGGAUAGAGCUUAGCAAUAGGUUCUUGAGAGUGGCGCACGGGUGCGUAACACGUGUGUAACCUACCCUUAAUAGGGGGAUAGCCUCUUGAAAGAGAGAUUAAUACCCCAUAAUAUAUUGAAUAGGCAUCUAUUUGAUAUUAAAACUACGGUGAUUAAGGAUGGGCAUGCGUCUGAUUAGGUAGUUGGAGAGGUAACGGCUCACCAAGCCAACGAUCAGUAGGGGGUCUGAGAGGAUGUCCCCCCACACUGGUACUGAGACACGGACCAGACUCCUACGGGAGGCAGCAGUAGGGAAUAUUGGACAAUGGGGGCAACCCUGAUCCAGCCAUUCCGCGUGCAGGAAUAAGGCCCUAUGGGUCGUAAACUGCUUUUGUAUGGGAAAAAAUCACUUUACGUGUAAGGUGUUGAUGGUACCAUGAGAAUAAGGAUCGGCUAACUUCGUGCCAGCAGCCGCGGUAAUACGAAGGAUCCAAGCGUUGUCCGGAUUUACUGGGUUUAAAGGGUGCGUAGGCGGAGGAUUAAGUCAGUGGUGAAAGCUGGUAGCUUAACUAUCAAAUUGCCAUUGAAACUGAUUUUCUCGAGUACGAUUGAGGUAGCUGGAAUGUAACAUGUAGCGGUGAAAUGCAUAGAUAUGUUACGGAACACCAAUUGCGAAGGCAGGCUACUAAGUCGUAACUGACGCUGAGGCACGAAAGCGUGGGGAUCAAACAGGAUUAGAUACCCUGGUAGUCCACGCCCUAAACGAUGAGUACUAGAUGUUGGUCCCAUAGGGGUCAGUAUCCAAGCUAACGCAUUAAGUACUCCACCUGGGAAGUACGAUCGCAAGGUUGAAACUCAAAGGAAUUGACGGGGGCCCGCACAAGCAGUGGAGCAUGUGGUUUAAUUCGAUGCAACGCGAAGAACCUUACCUAGGCUUGAAAUGCAAGUUGUACCUGCCCGAAAAGGCGGGGAACCGCAAGGAAAACUUGUACAGGUGCUGCAUGGCUGUCGUCAGCUCGUGCCGUGAGGUGUUGGGUUAAGUCCCGCAACGAGCGCAACCCCUACCGUUAGUUGCCAGCAUGUUAAGAUGGGGACUCUAACGGAACUGCCGGCGCAAGCCGUGAGGAAGGUGGGGAUGACGUCAAAUCAUCACGGCCCUUACGUCCUGGGCUACACACGUGCUACAAUGGUCGAUACAAUGGGCAGCCACUUCGCGAGAAGGAGCAAAUCCAUAAAAUCGAUCUCAGUUCGGAUUGGAGUCU
rnacentral:rRNA from 1 species